rnacentral:hammerhead_ribozyme from 1 species
AUCCAGGUAAAGAGUCCCAAAUAGGACGAAAUCCGCGUUAUCCUGGAU